ensembl:lincRNA Gm44670 predicted gene 44670
GAGAUUUCCACCUACUGAAAUGUUUCCAUACUUAAUUUCUACUCAGAGAACCUGAAGUCACUUCUAACAGUAUCUCUCAAGACCGAUACAGUUGAGCUCCAUCUGCCCUUCUAACAUCGGCGGCCUGGCAACAGUGUCUUGCUAAGCUGGGAAACAUGGUAUGGUGAGAAGGUCUCUAACUUCGGUCAAGACUCAGUUCUGCCACUCUCCACAAUGACUCUGGGCAAGGUGCUUCAGAGCACUAUCCCAGCAUGGCCUUGUCCUGGACUGCAUGGGGUUCAUUCUUCAUCCUCAAUGGUCAGAAGCCACUUCCAACAGGUGCCCAGGGAGGACAAAGGAUCCAGGCUUCACUUUUCCUGAUGGAGCAAAAGGAGUAUCAGGAGAUAAAUGGUGAUGCCAGACUGGAUCUCAGACAACACUGGAAGCAUCUCCAGGCUUUCAGAACACCAGAUUAAUCCAUAUGAAUGGAAAGGACAAUUCAUUUGUCCUUCCCUGUGACCCUCAUUCUGUCCCAGAUGGACCACGCUAAAGAGGAUGUGGAGUAUGAAGUCUGUCUGAAUAUGUGAAAGGACUGACACCAGGGUUGUUGUGAAGCUGUGGGGCCUUUGUUGAGCCAGAGAUACGGCUUGAAGGGAGAAAAUGAAACAUAGGUUGUGGCUCAGUUCUCAGCUAAGUACCCAGUACCCAGUUGAGUAGAGUAAGUGAGCUGCCUAUGCAAGUCAGCCAGAGGAAGACACAGAUGUCAGGGAAG